GCAGCGGUGAUUCCAUGGUAGAAUUCUUGCCUUCCAUGCUAGAGACCUGGGUUUGAUUCCCAGCCAACACA
rnacentral:tRNA from 1 species